UCUCCUUGAGGGGCCUCUGCCUCUAUCCAGGAUGAAUUAAUCUGACCAGGAGGCUGAGGUCCCUCACAGGCGGC
rnacentral:pre_miRNA from 1 species